UGCUAGUUCUUGUCAUAACUGCCAGAGGGU
rnacentral:piRNA from 1 species